UAGUCCCAGCUACUCGGUAGGCUGAGGCAGGAGAAUGACGUGAACCCGGGAGGCGGAGCUUGCAGUGAGCAAAGAUCGAGCCACUACAGUCCAGCGAAUUAUGUAGAGAGAGAUUGCAGAUUUCUGGCUGAGAGCUGGAUGGCUCAUGCGCAGGGGAAGACUGACAGACCCAGCAGAGAGCAGAUGAUGCACAGCUGGAGGCAGAACUGAGAUACCAAAGUUCAUGCCCUGCUAGGAGACAUGGGGGUUCUGGCCCAACUGGAAUGAAGAGCAAUCUUUAAGACAUUCGGCCAAGCCGCUAUAUAACCCACAUUUUAUGAAUAAGGCCCACAUCCUAGAGAAGUCAUUCUCGAUUUGGGGGUGGGCUGCUUUUGAGCAGAGGCUUCUAGCCAGCAGUCAGCAAUGAGCAGAGGCCUGCCAACAAGCAUAUGAGUAGGUCUGCAAGCACACUCUGCAGCCAUAAUUGAGCCUUAGAUGACUGCACCCUCCAAACGACAGCUGGAUGGCAACGUCCUUAGAGACUCUGAGCAAGAACCAUUGAGCUAAGUCACGCUCAGAUUCCUGAUCUUUGGAAAUGAUGUAACAACAAAUGCUUUUGUUUUAAGGUGUUAUUUUGUGGGGUAAUUUGUUACACAGCAAUAGAUAACUAACACAACCCGGCCC
rnacentral:lncRNA from 10 species